ACGCGAAGAACCUUACCUGGACUCGAAAUCUAGUUGACAGUCUCAGAGAUGAGAUCUUCCCGCAAGGGACGGCUGGAUAGGUGCUGCAUGGCUGUCGUCAGCUCGUGUCGUGAGAUGUUGGGUUAAGUCCCGCAACGAGCGCAACCCUUACCCUUAGUUGCUAAUCCGCAAGGAAAGCACCCUAAGGGAACUGCCUCGGAUAACGAGGAGGAAGGUGGGGAUGACGUCAAGUCCUCAUGGCCUUUAUGCCCAGGGCUACACACGUGCUACAAUGGCCGGUACAAACCGUCGCAGACCCGCGAGGGGAAGCCAAUCGGAAAAAACCGGUCUCAGUUCGGAUUGCAGGCUGCAACUCGCCUGCAUGAAGCUGGAAUCGCUAGUAAUCGCGUAUCAGAACGACGCGGUGAAUACGUUCCCGGGCCUUGUA
rnacentral:rRNA from 1 species